rnacentral:rRNA from 1 species
AACGAACGCUGGCGGCAUGCCUAACACAUGCAAGUCGAACGAGACCUUCGGGUCUAGUGGCGCAAGGGUGCGUAAAGCGUGGGAACCUGCCCUUAGGUUCGGAAUAACUCCCCGAAAGGGGUGCUAAUACCGGAUAAUGUCUUCGGACCAAAGAUUUAUCGCCUUUGGAUGGGCCCGCGUUGGAUUAGCUAGUUGGUAGGGUAAAAGCCUACCAAGGCGUCGACCCAUAGCUGGUCUGAGAGGAUGAUCAGCCACACUGGGACUGAGACACGGCCCAGACUCCUACAGGGGGCAGCAGUGGGGAGUAUUGGACAAUGGGCGAGAGCCUGAUCCAGCAAUGCCGCGUGAGUGAUGAAGGCCUUAGGGUUGUAAAGCUCUUUUUCCCGUGAUGAUAAUGACAGUACCGGGAGAAUAAGCUCCGGCUAACUCCGUG